AUAUAGGCAUAUAAAAGAGGAGUAACUUAAAAGGAAUUUUUAGAGAGAAUUUGUUUGGUGAAAAAAUUUAAUUCGUUUUUUGUGAAGGUAGCUUUUUAGCUUUGAAAAACGGGUAAUUUCGUUAUAAAUUAGAGAGUCAUUUUUAUGAAAAUUAGGUGGUACCGCGAUAACUUCGUCCUAUGU
rnacentral:ncRNA from 1 species